rnacentral:rRNA from 1 species
ACUGAUGCAUUCAACGAGUAUAUAGCCUUACCCGACAGGUCCAGGUAAUCUCUGAAAUUUUAUCGUAAUGAGGAUAGAUCAUUGCAAUUGUUGGUCUUCAAC